rnacentral:rRNA from 1 species
CGAACGGGUGAGUAAUACAUAAGUAACCUGCCCUAGACAGGGGGAUAACUAUUGGAAACGAUAGCUAAGACCGCAUAGGUACGGACACUGCAUGGUGACCGUAUUAAAAGUGCCUCAAAGCACUGGUAGAGGAUGGACUUAUGGCGCAUUAGCUGGUUGGCGGGGUAACGGCCCACCAAGGCGACGAUGCGUAGCCGACCUGAGAGGGUGACCGGCCACACUGGGACUGAGACACGGCCCAGACUCCUACGGGAGACAGCAUG